GGGACACGUGGUAUCCUGUCUGAAUAUGGGGGGACCAUCCUCCAAGGCUAAAUACUCCUGACUGACCGAUAGUGAACCAGUACCGUGAGGGAAAGGCGAAAAGAACCCCGGCGAGGGGAGUGAAAAAGAACCUGAAACCGUGUACGUACAAGCAGUGGGAGCACGCUUAGGCGUGUGACUGCGUACCUUUUGUAUAAUGGGUCAGCGACUUAUAUUCUGUAGCAAGGUUAACCGAAUAGGGGAGCCGAAGGGAAACCGAGUCUUAACUGGGCGUUAAGUUGCAGGGUAUAGACCCGAAACCCGGUGAUCUAGCCAUGGGCAGGUUGAAGGUUGGGUAACACUAACUGGAGGACCGAACCGACUAAUGUUGAAAAAUUAGCGGAUGACUUGUGGCUGGGGGUGAAAGGCCAAUCAAACCGGGAGAUAGCUGGUUCUCCCCGAAAGCUAUUUAGGUAGCGCCUCGUGAAUUCAUCUCCGGGGGUAGAGCACUGUUUCGGCAAGGGGGUCAUCCCGACUUACCAACCCGAUGCAAACUGCGAAUACCGGAGAAUGUUAUCACGGGAGACACACGGCGGGUGCUAACGUCCGUCGUGAAGAGGGAAACAACCCAGACCGCCAGCUAAGGUCCCAAAGUCAUGGUUAAGUGGGAAACGAUGUGGGAAGGCCCAGACAGCCAGGAUGUUGGCUUAGAAGCAGCCAUCAUUUAAAGAAAGCGUAAUAGCUCACUGGUCGAGUCGGCCUGCGCGGAAGAUGUAACGGGGCUAAACCAUGCACCGAAGCUGCGGCAGCGACACUAUGUGUUGUUGGGUAGGGGAGCGUUCUGUAAGCCUGUGAAGGUGUGCUGUGAGGCAUGCUGGAGGUAUCAGAAGUGCGA
rnacentral:rRNA from 1 species